GGGGAUGUCGGGUUUCGACAGGCGAACAGGUUGAAGAAUUGCAGGUCGAGGUGUCGGUACAGCAUUCUCGUUAAACAACCGACAAAACAUAGUUGCCGAAAAGCAACCCGCACUCGCACUCGCUGCUUAAUAACCAGUGAAGCGCGCUCGCCUGACUUUCUCCCAUGGGGUCAGGGCCGGGCGUCAUAAACAUGCGGAUGCGAUAACGGCCACGCCCUCUUACCGUUAUCAAAGACCAGAGGGCCAGCGUUAGGGCAUCCUGUCGGUGGGAGGCUCCGACGUAAAGAAAGAACAUCGACUAAGCCUGUAGUACAUUCUCCGAUAGGCUCGUUUGGACAGGGAGUUCAACUCUCCCUCAUCUCCACCA
rnacentral:tmRNA from 1 species